rnacentral:rRNA from 12 species
AAGAAAAGCGGAAGCGUCUGGAAAGUCGUGCCGUAGUGGGUGAUAGCCCCGUACGCGUUAAUCGAUCUAUUGUCCUCGAGUAGGGCGGAACACGUGAAAUUCUGUCUGAACAUGGGGGGACCACCCUCCAAGCCUAAGUACUCGUGCAUCACCGAUAGCGAACCAGUACCGUGAGGGAAAGGUGAAAAGCACCCCGACAA